rnacentral:rRNA from 1 species
UAGGGAAUCUUCCACAAUGGACGCAAGUCUGAUGGAGCAACGCCGCGUGAGUGAAGAAGGUUUUCGGACCGUAAAGCUCUGUUGUUGGUGAAGAAGGAUAGAGGUAGUAACUGGCCUUUAUUUGACGGUAAUCAACCAGAAAGUCACGGCUAACUACGUGCCAGCAGCCGCGGUAAUCGUAGGUGGCAAGCGUUGUCCGGAUUUAUUGGGCGUAAAGCGAGCGCAGGCGGAAGAAUAAGUCUGAUGUGAAAGCCCUCGGCUUAACCGAGGAAUUGCAUCGGAAACUGUUUUCUUGAGUGCAGAAGAGGAGAGUAGAACUCCAUGUGUAGCGGUGGAAUGCGUAGAUAUAUGGAAGAAUACCAGUGGCGAAGGCGGCUCUCUGGUCUGCAACUGACGCUGAGGCUCGAAAGCAUGGGUAGCGAACAGGAUUAGAUACCCUGGUAGUCCAUGCCGUAAACGAUGAGUGCUAAGUGUUGGGAGGCUUCCGCCUCUCAGUGCUGCAGCUAACGCA